GUUGACAGUGACACUGACACUGACGCCACUGACAUUUUUUUUUUUUUUUUUUUUAACAUUUAUGGCCUGGAUGCGAGUCCUUUAAGCCAAGUCUUUAUUUUGCUAUUUUUAAAACACUUCAUUUAAGUGGUUAAAUGGCAGAGAAUGCACUAGUAAUUUUGUUAAUACACUUCACUUUAAAUCUUCAAUGCUGUAUUUUUGAUGUACUCGUAUAACGGAACGUAACUGUCAACGUUUUUAAGAAUAUCGGUGAGGCGGCGGGGGACAUUAUUAUCAAACCCUUCACUUAAUUCACUUGCAAGGAUGAGUCUUUGAAACGCAAACACUUGGCAUUUAAAUAUAAGGUGUUCAACAUCUGCAACGCUACCAUUGUGGCAGUGAGGACAUGUACCAUCGGCUAUAAUCGAAAAUCUAGCUAAGUGCGCUGGUGCACAGUUGUGACCAAACCUCAAUCUAUUGAUGGUGGUAAUAAAACUACGACUUCCCAUCUUUAUCUUCUCAUACCAAGGCUUUCCAGGGCUUCAAAUACAGCAUAUGCUUCAGCCGUAAAUAUGGAACAUAAAUCAUGCAAUCUAAAGCUCUGUACAAAUUUAGUCUGAGGAUCAUACACUGCACUUCGGACGUGAGACUCUGCUUUACUACCAUCUGUAUAUAAUUUGUAAUAAUUGGGAAUUUGUGACAAGAAAUGUAGAAAAUCAGUAUUAUUAUUGAUAGAUUUUGUGCAUACUGUAAUGUUUAAAAGUUUACUAUUAAAGCUAUCUUCAUAACAUGGCCAAA